rnacentral:lncRNA from 1 species
UGGGAUUGGGGGCCUAUGACCUCUGAGUCCUCAAUCAAGGAGUGGAACUUGAUCUCCCCCCCCCAAAAAAAGCAAAAAAUAGCUGGUUCAUCACUGCAACUAGCUAAUCACCAUCAGGACCUCUGGUCUUUCCUUCUUUUUCUAACUGCCCUCUCCCUGCAGGAAAAAAGCCAAUCUUCUCAAGAAUCUCCACAGAAACUCUGGCCACAUUCAGACACCAGUUCCUGAGAGAUCUGUGCAGGAGGGCCCAGCUUAUCAGCACUGUCUUUAGAUCCUCAGCUCUGAGAUCUCGGCUGCCUGUCUACUCCCAAGGCCACCUUCCAUUGGACAACAUUUGGUAGCAGAAAGAACUGAAGCAGCACUUGGCAUCCCAGGCCGUGUGGGACAGGGUUCAUAGACAGCGAAAUGUGGUCUGUUACCGUCAGAGCCCUCUGAAAGGUAUCAACCGGUCACUCCAAACACCUCCCAAUAAGAAAUAUAAGAAGCACUCUGAAGAAAUCAUUGUUACUAGACAUACCUAGACAACCAUUUCAGCCAAAAUAAUUGAGAAAGACCCACAAAGAGAGAAGAUGGAUGAAGAGCAACACCAAAAGAGUUCAAAAUCACCUGAAAAGAAGCUAAAGACAGUUGAAUUCAAGAAAAAGAAAUGUGUUAGGUUUCUGUUACCCCAUAAAGCUGACAAGGAAAAGAAAUCCUCUUCCCUAGGAGAAACAGAGGAGUCAAAGUUCAGAUGUGAAUGCCAACACUGCCAGAUGUGUGAGGGGAACACAUCUGGGGUCUCUGUGGGACCUAGGACUGAAGCAGUCUCUCCGUCAUCCUCCUGGGAAAAUCUAACACUAGACCUCAGUAACUUGACACUCAACCCUCAUACCACCCAUCCCCAUCUUGUGCAAGACACCAUAUCCAAAGGAGAGAACAAAAUGCAGUGCCCAAGGAAAAACAAGAGGAUGUUUCAAAAGGUUCUCUACGAAUGGACAGAAUAACUCUGACACUGUCAUCGUCAUGAGAAGGAAGAUCCAAACCUACAGGACCAUGAGUAUCAACAUCUUUUGGGGAGCAACAUCAGGAGGAGUAAUGUCCAACCUGUUGAUAAUAAUACAGCUGGAUCGUGACUCGAAUCUAUUCCACAAAUGUAGCCAUCUUUUCCUUAGUAGUUUAGGCAUCUUCCCUUAGGCACUCUGGGAAGAGAUGUGGUUCUCAGUAAGGACGACCAAAUUGCAAUUUUUCUAUACUCCCCAUGUCAGUGUUCCCAUGGGAUUUGCUACCGAUUUUCCUCUCCUCGGGUUUGAGGUUUUCCUCCUUUACAUUGUUGCCAAUAAAGUUAAA